GGCUACACACGUGCUACAAUGGGUAGAACAGAGAGUUGCAAAGCCGUGAGGUGAAGCUAAUCUCAGAAAACUAUUCUUAGUUCGGAUUGUACUCUGCAACUCGAGUACAUGAAGUUGGAAUCGCUAGUAAUCGCGAAUCAGCAAUGUCGCGGUGAAUACGUUCUCGGGUCUUGUACACACCGCCCGUCACACCACGAGAGUUGGUUGCACCUGAAGUAGCAGGCCUAACCGUAAGGAGGGAUGCUCCGAGGGUGUGAUUAGCGAUUGGGGUGAAGUCGUAACAAGGUAUCCGUACGGGAACGU
rnacentral:rRNA from 1 species